rnacentral:rRNA from 1 species
AUUGAACGCUGGCGGCAGGCCUAACACAUGCAAGUCGAGCGGAUGACGGGAGCUUGCUCCUUGAUUCAGCGGCGGACGGGUGAGUAAUGCCUAGGAAUCUGCCUGGUAGUGGGGGACAACGUUUCGAAAGGAACGCUAAUACCGCAUACGUCCUACGAGAGAAAGCAGGGGACCUUCGGGCCCUGCGCUAUCAGAUGAGCCUAGGUCGGAUUAGCUAGUUGGUGGGGUAAUGGCUCACCAAGGCGACGAUCCGUAACUGGUCUGAGAGGAUGAUCAGUCACACUGGAACUGAGACACGGUCCAGACUCCUACGGGAGGCAGCAGUGGGGAAUAUUGGACAAUGGGCGAAAGCCUGAUCCAGCCAUGCCGCGUGUGUGAAGAAGGUCUUCGGAUUGUAAAGCACUCUAAGUUGGGAGGAAGGGCAGUAAGCUAAUACCUUGCUGUUUUGACGUUACCGACAGAAUAAGCACCGGCUAACUCUGUGCCAGCCGCCGCCGUAACAC